UUUAUUAGCCCCUUAUACACAAAAACUUUGCACUCAUACAUUUCUAUCUCAUCACCUUAAAAACUGAAAAGGAGAAUCAAAAUAUUUUCCAAGUAAAUUUAUGUACCUUUUGUAUCAGGGAUUUUCAAAUCUCCACAAAAUAUUUCAAACUCCCGAAACAAAACGAACUUUGCAUUUUAGUAAAAGUUAUGACACAAACAAUAUAAAUUUUUCAAAGUUGAGAUAUUCUUUUCAAGUCUUCCUAUAUCUGGUUCACUUUCACCAACUCCUUCACAGGGCCCAAAGAAUAAGCUUUGAGCGAAGCUUAACAACUUCUCGUUUUCUGACCCUAGAUUUAAUAGUAUCCACACUGUUUUUAAACUUCUCAUCCUAACACAACCAAGUAAAACCAUUUCCAAGUGAAUCACCCCAUUAACAUCACAAUGAAAAUAUCAGUAAAAUUUCUUCCUUCUUUAACCCACUAAACUUGUUUCCCAAUCAUAGAUUUACCUUAACUUUAUGAACUAGGCCCACAAUCAAUUGACUGUUUAUCAAAAACAUAGCUAAUAGAUUUCAAUUACUAGUAGUACCUGCUCAAUGAAAAAUAAAUAGCCGCAAAAUUUGUGCUAAGGUAGCAAAAUCAUUUGCCUUUUAAUUGGAGGCCCGUAUGAAAGGUUUUACAUAUUGAUUUCUUUAUCGUGUCAACAAUUCUAAAUUAACAUUUAAGUAAAAAGGCUUAAAUAAAAAAGAAAGACGACAAGACCCUGACAAACUUCACACUAAUGUUUUACUGGGGCGGUACAAAAACCACAUCUUUUUAAUUACAAGACAACGAACAUCUUUUUUAUAAAAAGUUACUGCAGGGAUAACAGCAUAAUUUUUUCUUAGAGUCCUUAUCAAAGAAAAAGAUUGUGACCUCGAUGUUGAAUUAAUGUCACUCAUAAGGGCACGCCCUUGUUAAGUAAGUCUGUUCGACUUUUAAUACAUUACAUGAUUUGAGUUCAGACCGGCGUAAGCCAGGUCGGUUUCUAUCUUCUUCAUCAAAUCUUCAGUACGAAAGGAUCAAAAUUUGAGUUUUUAACU
rnacentral:rRNA from 1 species